ensembl:misc_RNA Metazoa_SRP Metazoan signal recognition particle RNA
GCCGGGCGUGGUGGCGCAUGCCUGUAGUCCCAGCUACAGAGGAGGCUGAGACAGGAGAAUUGCUUGAACCCGGGAGGCGGAGCUUGCAGUGAGCUGAGAUUGGGCCACUGCACUCCAGCCUGGGCGACAGAGCAAGACUCUGUCUCAA